CUGGAAGCGUUUGGCCUCGCGGUCUAGCCACACCAGACCCGGAAAUGUCCCGGUGUCCACCUGAGACACCAGCCAGGGCUUGAGCCGCACACGCCGCGGGUGAGAGGACAUUACGGCCUUCUGAUUAUUACAAUCAUGUUUCAGGAAGCGUCAAAGCAGGAAAACCCAGCAAUCCUGAGGCCUUUACCGCCAAAACGCGCGGAUUUCUCGAUGAAUCAGAGUAAAGUGCUCAUAAACCGGUCGUUAACCGGACAAUGCGCUCGCAGUUUCCCCGUGGGUCCGUGAGAAAA